GAUCCGUAACUUCGGGAAAAGGAUUGGCUCAAGCAUUUGGGAUCAAGCC
rnacentral:rRNA from 1 species